UACGUAGGUGGCAAGCGUUGUCCGGAAUUAUUGGGCGUAAAGCGCGCGCAGGCGGUCCUUUAAGUCGGAUGUGAAAGCCCACGGCUCAACCGUGGAAGGUCAUUGGAAACUAGAGGACUUGAGUACAGAAGAGGAAAGCGGAAUUCCACGUGUAGCGGUGAAAUGCGUAGAGAUGUGGAGGAACACCAGUGGCGAAGGCGGCUUUCUGGUCUGUAACUGACGCUGAGGCGCGAAAGCGUGGGGAGCAAACAGG
rnacentral:rRNA from 1 species